rnacentral:rRNA from 1 species
GAUGAACGCUCGCUACAGGCUUAACACAUGCAAGUCGAGGGGAAACGACAUCGAAAGCUUGCUUUUGAUGGGCGUCGACCGGCGCACGGGUGAGUAACGCGUAUCCAACCUGCCCAUCACUUGGGAAUAACCUUGCGAAAGUAAGACUAAUACCCAAUGAUAUCCCACGAAGGCAUCGGAAUGGGAUUAAAGAUUUAUCGGUGAUGGAUGGGGAUGCGUCUGAUUAGCUUGUUGGCGGGGUAACGGCCCACCAAGGCAACGAUCAGUAGGGGUUCUGAGAGGAAGGUCCCCCACAUUGGAACUGAGACACGGUCCAAACGCCUACGGGAGGCAGCAGUGAGGAAUAUUGGUCAAUGGGCGAGAGCCUGAACCAGCCAAGUAGCGUGCAGGAAGACGGCCCUAUGGGUUGUAAACUGCUUUUAUAAGGGAAUAAAGUGGGUCACGUGUGACUUUUUGCAUGUACCUGAUGAAUAAGGACCGGCUAAUUCCGUG